GGAGAGAGGGUUGCUUGUGGGUAAAUUGGUGGCAGGUCCUUCGUAGGAAACUUCAGCCUAAUUGCUUUUGAAAUAUGACUCUGCUUGGUAUGAUGUGUCGCAAGAUACCAAAUGAUGUGGAAAAUUCAUUAUAUGUACGGGGAGAAGCCGCUGGCCAAGCCAGGCUGGAGUGGGCCUUGGGCUCUGUCCCCUCUGCUGUCCUCACACUGUGACCCCAGGCAGGGGCCUCUCCUUCCCAGAGGUCGGUCUCGGGAUGGGUCACCCGCAUGACCUCCCCAGGCUCUGCUAUGCCCGGGGCAGCCUGGGCAGGUGAAGGAAUGAAGCCAAUGAAGCCAGCUGGCCAGGAAGAAGAAACGGGAGAUGAGAUGAUCUGGAGAUCUUUCUGGGCCUCAGUCGUGCCCCUGGGCAGUGGAGCCCCUCCAGUGCCCACAUUCUGUGUCCUGUCUCGUGAGGUGACCAUCCUAUUAGUCUUUGGCCUCUGCCCUGGAGCCCAUCCCGCCCCUCAGCUGCUCCGUCCCAGCCUGGACUGCCAUCUGGGCCCCCAUCCCCAGAGCCGCGUGACCAGGGUCUCAUUGGAGAGGAGGAAACUGAGGCAGGUCUCAGCCCUACAGUAGAAGCAGACGAGGCAACAGAAGGCCCUCUGCUGAGCGGCGUGGAGCUGAGCGCUGAGCUGGGUGGCUGUGCACGGCCAAAGCACCAGAGUGGAGCCGAGUGAGGGAUGAGGUGCUGGCUCCUGCCAGGGCGGCCGGGGGGCCGUGCCAGCACUGGGGGUACCUCACCUCGGGAUCCGUGUGUGUCUGCCUCUGCUGGAAGGAGAGCUUUAGAAUAUCCUCGAUUUAGAAAUGUGCUUGCUGUUUGGUGGGUUCCUCAGUAUAAUGUGAUGAACUAUGGCUCCCAAAAGAUAUGUUCACGUCCUAAGCUCCAGAAUGUGUGAAUGUGACCUU
rnacentral:lncRNA from 12 species